UACGAAGGGGGCUAGCGUUGCUCGGAAUCACUGGGCGUAAAGGGUGCGUAGGCGGGUUUUAAGUCAGGGGUGAAAUCCUGGAGCUCAACUCCAGAACUGCCUUUGAUACUGAGGAUCUUGAGUUCGGGAGAGGUGAGUGGAACUGCGAGUGUAGAGGUGAAAUUCGUAGAUAUUCGCAAGAACACCAGUGGCGAAGGCGGCUCACUGGCCCGAUACUGACGCUGAGGCACGAAAGCGUGGGGAGCAAACAGG
rnacentral:rRNA from 1 species